rnacentral:rRNA from 1 species
UCGAACGCUUCUUUUUCCACCGGAGCUUGCUCCACCGGAAAAAGAGGAGUGGCGAACGGGUGAGUAACACGUGGGUAACCUGCCCAUCAGAAGGGGAUAACACUUGGAAACAGGUGCUAAUACCGUAUAACAAUCGAAACCGCAUGGUUUUGAUUUGAAAGGCGCUUUCGGGUGUCGCUGAUGGAUGGACCCGCGGUGCAUUAGCUAGUUGGUGAGGUAACGGCUCACCAAGGCGACGAUGCAUAGCCGACCUGAGAGGGUGAUCGGCCACAUUGGGACUGAGACACGGCCCAAACUCCUACGGGAGGCAGCAGUAGGGAAUCUUCGGCAAUGGACGAAAGUCUGACCGAGCAACGCCGCGUGAGUGAAGAAGGUUUUCGGAUCGUAAAACUCUGUUGUUAGAGAAGAACAAGGAUGAGAGUAACUGUUCAUCCCUUGACGGUAUCUAACCAGAAAGCCACGGCUAACUACG